rnacentral:precursor_RNA from 1 species
UUUGGUCGCUCGCUCCUCUCCUACUUGGAAAACUGUGGUAAUUCUAGAGCU